GUGAUCGCUUCAGCAGCAUAUAUACUAAAAUUGGAACAAUACAGAGAAGAGUAGCAUGAUCCUGUGCAAUGAUGACAUGCAAAUUUGUAAAGUGUUCCAUAUUUUU